AGGAUUGACCAUUGUGAUUCUGGUUUCAAUCCAGACCAGUUUUUCUUUAUGUUAAAUAACCUAGAAAACUGUAUCUGGAUUGAUGCUAUAGUCAGAAUAUUUAGUCAGA